UGAUUGGUGCUUGCAUCAUGAUUUACAUUUGAGUGAGUGGCGAACUGGUGAGUAACACGUGGGAAACCUGCCCAGAAGCGGGGGAUAACACCUGGAAACAGAUGCUAAUACCGCAUAACAACUUGGACCGCAUGGUCCGAGCUUGAAAGAUGGCUUCGGCUAUCACUUUUGGAUGGUCCCGCGGCGUAUUAGCUAGAUGGUGGGGUAACGGCUCACCAUGGCAAUGAUACGUAGCCGACCUGAGAGGGUAAUCGGCCACAUUGGGACUGAGACACGGCCCAAACUCCUACGGGAGGCAGCAGUAGGGAAUCUUCCACAAUGGACGAAAGUCUGAUGGAGCAACGCCGCGUGAGUGAAGAAGGGUUUCGGCUCGUAAAACUCUGUUGUUAAAGAAGAACAUAUCUGAGAGUAACUGUUCAGGUAUUGACGGUAUUUAACCAGAAAGCCACGGCUAACUACGUGCCAGCAGCCGCGGUAAUACGUAGGUGGCAAGCGUUGUCCGGAUUUAUUGGGCGUAAAGCGAGCGCAGGCGGUUUUUUAAGUCUGAUGUGAAAGCCUUCGGCUCAACCGAAGAAGUGCAUCGGAAACUGGGAAACUUGAGUGCAGAAGAGGACAGUGGAACUCCAUGUGUAGCGGUGAAAUGCGUAGAUAUAUGGAAGAACACCAGUGGCGAAGGCGGCUGUCUGGUCUGUAACUGACGCUGAGGCUCGAAAGUAUGGGUAGCAAACAGGAUUAGAUACCCUGGUAGUCCAUACCGUAAACGAUGAAUGCUAAGUGUUGGAGGGUUUCCGCCCUUCAGUGCUGCAGCUAACGCAUUAAGCAUUCCGCCUGGGGAGUACGGCCGCAAGGCUGAAACUCAAAGGAAUUGACGGGGGCCCGCACAAGCGGUGGAGCAUGUGGUUUAAUUCGAAGCUACGCGAAGAACCUUACCAGGUCUUGACAUACUAUGCAAAUCUAAGAGAUUAGACGUUCCCUUCGGGGACAUGGAUACAGGUGGUGCAUGGUUGUCGUCAGCUCGUGUCGUGAGAUGUUGGGUUAAGUCCCGCAACGAGCGCAACCCUUAUUAUCAGUUGCCAGCAUUAAGUUGGGCACUCUGGUGAGACUGCCGGUGACAAACCGGAGGAAGGUGGGGAUGACGUCAAAUCAUCAUGCCCCUUAUGACCUGGGCUACACACGUGCUACAAUGGAUGGUACAACGAGUUGCGAACUCGCGAGAGUAAGCUAAUCUCUUAAAGCCAUUCUCAGUUCGGAUUGUAGGCUGCAACUCGCCUACAUGAAGUCGGAAUCGCUAGUAAUCGCGGAUCAGCAUGCCGCGGUGAAUACGUUCCCGGGCCUUGUACACACCGCCCGUCACACCAUGAGAGUUUGUAACACCCAA
rnacentral:rRNA from 2 species